rnacentral:tRNA from 1 species
GCCCCUUCGUCUAGUGGUAGGACAGCGGACUUUGGAUCCGUUAGGCGAGGUUCGAAUCCUCG